rnacentral:rRNA from 1 species
UAGGGAAUCUUCGGCAAUGGGGGCAACCCUGACCGAGCAACGCCGCGUGAGUGAAGAAGGUUUUCGGAUCGUAAAGCUCUGUUGUAAGAGAAGAACGUGUGUGAGAGUGGAAAGUUCACACAGUGACGGUAACUUACCAGAAAGGGACGGCUAACUACGUGCCAGCAGCCGCGGUAAUACGUAGGUCCCGAGCGUUGUCCGGAUUUAUUGGGCGUAAAGCGAGCGCAGACGGUUUAAUAAGUCUGAAGUUAAAGGCAGUGGCUUAACCAUUGUUCGCUUUGGAAACUGUUAAACUUGAGUGCAGAAGGGGAGAGUGGAAUUCCAUGUGUAGCGGUGAAAUGCGUAGAUAUAUGGAGGAACACCGGUGGCGAAAGCGGCUCUCUGGUCUGUAACUGACGCUGAGGCUCGAAAGCGUGGGGAGCAAACAGG